rnacentral:sRNA from 1 species
CUCUGCGUUCGCUCCGCGCUGCUGGAGGCUGUCGUCCCAAUGCUCCCCAAACGGCGGCGAGCGCGGGUCGGGUCCCCUAGCGGCGAUGCCGCUUCCUCCACGCCGCCCUCGACGCGCUUCCCGGGAGUCGCCAUCUACCUGGUCGAGCCUCGCAUGGGUCGCAGCCGCCGGGCCUUCCUCACACGCCUGGCGCGCUCCAAAGGCUUCCGCGUCCUUGACGCCUGCAGCUCCGAAGCGACACAUGUUGUGAUGGAAGAGACCUCAGCAGAGGAGGCCGUCAGCUGGCAGGAGCGCAGGAUGGCAGCUGCUCCCCCGGGUUGCACCCCCCCAGCUCUGCUGGACAUAAGCUGGUUAACAGAGAGCCUGGGAGCUGGGCAGCCUGUACCUGUGGAGUGCCGGCACCGCCUGGAGGAGCUGCUGGAGCAUGGGGUGUGUGAGGAGGUGGAGAGAGUUCAGCGCUCAGAGAGGUACCAGACCAUGAAGGUGCGCAGGGCAGGGCUCGGACCUACCCCAGGAAUGUCCUGCCCUGGGAAUGACAACACAGUCCACACCAUGCACGGGGAGGCAAACAGGGG